rnacentral:lncRNA from 10 species
AGUUGUCUUCCGGUCUGCCCCAGACUCUGAGCUUGCAGACUUCUCUCCUCAUGGUGUCACAAAACUUCUUCGUUGAUCUCCUGUAUUCCCCCCAAAAUGGAACCUAAAGCCUUAAUAAGAUUCAAGUUAAACAUUUUGGGGAUGAUUACCUUAGAAGUGACAUGGUGUGCCUCGUGUUGCAUCACCUGGAGAGAAAUUUCCAAGGAAACUAUAUUUCAUACAUUGAUGGAAAUGUAUGGAAAGCAUACAGUUGGACCGAGAAACUAAUUCUCAGUGAAAAUUAUUUGACUGAAUUACCUAAGGAUUCAUUUGAAGGCCUGCUAUCCCUCCAGUAUUUGUAAGUUAGUUAAUCAUAUUUUUGAGUUUUUAGUCAUAUUAUCUUUAAAAUGAAUAAGAGGUUCAAAUUAGAUAAUCUCUAAGAUUUCUUCCAGCAAUAAAAUUCUGCAAUUCUGUAAGUUUGUAUAGGGUCUCAGCCCAUCUCUAGCAUUCGCUAUGUCCUAUGCAUUUUCAGUUUUUAAAUUGUAUAGACAAAAUACUGACAGAAAAAAUUUCACAUGGUAAGAAG